GUGCCAGCAGCCGCGGUAAGACGUAGGGGGCGAGCGUUGUCCGGAAUCAUUGGGCGUAAAGAGCGCGCAGGCGGCUUGGUAAGUCGGACGUGAAAACCCGAGGCUCAACCUCGGGCGUGCAUCCGAUACUGCCCGGCUAGAGGUAGGUAGGGGAGAUCGGAAUUCCUGGUGUAGCGGUGAAAUGCGCAGAUAUCAGGAGGAACACCGGUGGCGAAGGCGGAUCUCUGGGCCUUACCUGACGCUCAGGCGCGAAAGCUAGGGGAGCGAACAGGAUUAGAAACCCGGGUAGUCC
rnacentral:rRNA from 1 species